GCAGGCCUGAUACAGAGUUCAUAGACAUUGAGCCAAAGCCUCAUGUCAUAGUAGAGAGUAGAAGUCAUGAUGUGAAGUUCAGAGGAGAGAGGAGAUCCUACCUGAUGUGAACUCAGCAGCCCCAGGGUUAGUCCUGACAUAAGGGGAGAUUCCUAUGGAGACAUGGGGCUGAGUGGAACACACAUUUUCAGCUAAAACCAAGCCAGGAAGAGGGAGACAGG